GAGUUUGAUCAUGGCUCAGAUUGAACGCUGGCGGUAUGCUUAACACAUGCAAGUCGAACGGUAACAGGCUAGCUUGCUAGCGCUGACGAGUGGCGGACGGGUGCGUAACGCGUAGGAAUCUGCCUAUUAGUGGGGGACAACCUGGUGAAAACCAGGCUAAUACCGCAUACGCCCUACGGGGGAAAGCAGGGGAUCUUCGGACCUUGCGCUAAUAGAUGAGCCUGCGUUAGAUUAGCUUGUUGGUGAGGUAAUGGCUCACCAAGGCGACGAUCUAUAGCUGGUCUGAGAGGACGAUCAGCCACACUGGGACUGAGACACGGCCCAGACUCCUACGGGAGGCAGCAGUGGGGAAUAUUGGACAAUGGGCGGAAGCCUGAUCCAGCAAUACCGCGUGUGUGAAGAAGGCCUGAGGGUUGUAAAGCACUUUCAAUUGGGAGGAAAACAGGCAGGUUAAUAUCCUGUCUCUUGUACAUUACCUUUAGAAGAAGCACCGGCUAACUCCGUGCCAC
rnacentral:rRNA from 1 species